AACGAACGCUGGCGGCAUGCCUAACACAUGCAAGUCGAACGAGACCUUCGGGUCUAGUGGCGCACGGGUGCGUAACGCGUGGGAACCUGCCCUUAGGUUCGGAAUAACUCCCCGAAGGGGUGCUAAUACCGGAUAAUGUCUUCGGACCAAAGAUUUAUCGCCUUUGGAUGGGCCCGCGUUGGAUUAGCUAGUUGGUAGGGUAAAAGCCUACCAAGGCGACGAUUCAUAGCUGGUCUGAGAGGAUGAUCAGCCACACUGGGACUGAGACACGGCCCAGACUCCUACGGGAGGCAGCAGUGGGGAAUAUUGGACAAUGGGCGAAAGCCUGAUCCAGCAACGCCGCGUGAGUGAUGAAGGCCUUAGGGUUGUAAAGCUCUUUUACCCGGGAUGAUAAUGACAGUACCGGGAGAAUAAGCUCCGGCUAACUCCGUG
rnacentral:rRNA from 1 species